rnacentral:rRNA from 1 species
GACGAACGCUGGCGGCGUGCUUAACACAUGCAAGUCGAACGGAAAGGCCCUGCUUUUGUGGGGUUCUCGAGUGGCGAACGGGUGAGUAACACGUGAGUAUCCUGCCCUUGACUUUUGGAUAACUUCAGGAAACUGGGGCUAAUACCGGAUAGGAUCUCCUGCUGCAUGUUGGGGGUUGGAAAGUUUCGGCGGUUGGGGCUGGACUCGCGGCUUAUCAGCUUGUUGGUGGGGUAGUGGCUUACCAAGGCUUUGACGGGUAGCCGGCCUGAGAGGGUGACCGGCCAAAUUGGGACUGAGAUACGGCCCAGACUCCUACGGGAGGCAGCAGUGGGGAAUAUUGCACAAUGGGCGGAAGCCUGAUGCAGAAACGCCGCGUGCGGGAUGACGGCCUUCGGGUUGUAAACCGCUUUCGCAUGUGACGAAGAGUGAGUGACGGUAAUGGGUAAAGAAGCACCGGCUAACUACGUG